AUGUGGCAUACCUCAAAAGCAAGCAUUAGUAUUUAUGUAUUUUCUCAAUUUUUUUUUUGCCACUUCUCCCUGAAUUCUACUUAAAAAUAACCACCAACAAAAUAAAUAAAUAAACUAGUUGUCUGUUUUAUUAGGGACUCCAAGAGUCGCUUCCUUCGUAAAUUUACAAUAACUGAAACAGAAACAUUCCCUCCCAAAAACCUACCGCUUCUUCUCCUCUUUUUCCCUUUUCUCCUUCUCCAUUUGAGGGUUCCAUCCAAUUUUCCUUUCCAGCUCUAUGUUCCAAUUAUGUUUCCACACAUGAUUCUUUGGAUUUCAGGUAUAACGUGGGCUUCCUUUGUAAAUUGUUGCUCAAUCCAAGUUCAUUGUUUUACCGUUGGGCUUUGAACGGUGCACUCUACGUCACAUCUCCGUUCUCUCCUCAACAAUGAGCAAACUACUCUCACACAUUUGUUCUCACUAAUUUCAUUGGAUCUUUUAAGAUUUGAUAAAUUACUUUGGUGAAACGCUUCACUUAUAUGUUAUUCUCAGGUUGAAUAAUUCGCUAUUUAAUUUCCUUUUGUAUUCUAAUAAUUUAUAACUUUGUAGUAGAGACGUGGAGGAGUGUAGAAUGAGGGCCUACAAAGGUCACUCUUGAAACUUUCAACGAUUUAUUUAUACUUGAGGUACUAUAUUCUUCUAUUAGAAUUUGUUUUCGUAGUCAUAUAGUUGGGUUUUGGGUAAUGAGGGAAAAAUUAAAAUUGGUACUUUAAAAGUAGAUAUAUUACCAGCAUGUCCCAUAAACUUGUUGUUGUUUCAUAAAGCUUGAUCAGAGAGGGCCUACGAUGUGGCCAAGGGCUGAACAAAGGUCUGUAAUGCUCACUCUUGAAACUCCAUUGGUUCAUUUAAACUUGAGGUAUAUAUUCUUCUGAUUUUUGUUUUAGUUAUUUUGCAUUUUGCUUUUCUGGUAACGAGGGAAAAAAUGAUAUUCGUACUUUUAGAGUAGAUGUAUCACAAGUGUGUGCCAAUAACUUGCCAUGAUUCCAUAGAGCUUGCUUCGAGAAGGAAUUAUGAUAUUGUCAGUCAUCAAGAUUUUGUUUCCCUUAUCCAUUUUUGUUGUUAAUUUUAGCUGACUUGGGAUCUUAAUUUAUACUUUUUCCUUAUUUGAUUUGGCUUUAGGAUUUUAUUGUUCACGUUGGAGGUCGAACUUGUACAGGAAAAGCCGGAGAAUCCAUUUAUGGUCUUCAAUGAAAGACAUGGGAGCUACCGGGAACAAGUAGUUGCUAAAGAUAUUAACUUCAUAAAACUAUUUUGAUGUCUAUUUUUGAGGUAUUUUGUUGGAGGACUACAACCAUAUAUUUUAUGCACUGUGGGUUCACUUGACUAUUGGUCUCUCUUCCUCAAUAUGUUUGGUGUAAGCUGACAAAUGCCACAAGAUAUCAAGAAACUUUAGUUAUGUUGAGUAAGACAGAAGGUGAACUGCAGAGGCAAACUGAUCUGGAACACUAUCCCAUGUGCAUCAUGUGAAGUACAAGACUUGAAAGAAACAUGAAGUUCUUUUGAAGAGAAAGUUGAGCGCAUUUCUUUUGUUAAGUUUAAAUGCUUACAAAAGUUGUACUUCUAGUGCUCAGGAAACACACUAGAUAGUAUGAUGGAGUUUUUGGAUUGUUUUGGACUCUUUUGAGUCAAUAGCUGUAAAUUCUGUUACUUUUGUGCUGUAAUGUAUACCAUCUCUUGGUACUGACAAUAAUAUUUCCAUUAUUUUUUUUAAAAAAAGUA